CCCUUAGAUGUCCUGGGCCGCACGCGUGCUACACUGGUACAUUCAACGAGUUUACAACCUGAACUGAUAAGUUUGGGUAAUCUUUUGAAAAUGUACCGUGAUUGGGAUAGAUGAUUGCAAUUGUUCAUCUUCAACGAGGAAUACCUAGUAAACGCAAGUCAUCAACUUGCAUUGAUUACGUCCCUGCCCUUUGUACACACCGCCCGUCGCUCCUACCGAUUGGGUGUGCUGGUGAAAUGUUCGGAUCGGCCGUUUGUCGCGGUUUCCGCGUCAUGUGGCUGAGAAGUUCAUUAAACCCUCCCACCUAGAGGAAGGAGAAGUCGUAACA
rnacentral:rRNA from 1 species